UUAAGUAAGGAAGGGCGUACGGCGAAUGCCUUGCCACUCGAAACUGAAGAAGGACGCGCCAAACUGCGAAAAGCUCCGUGAAGCUGUAAGGAAGCGAAGAAGCGGAGGUGUCCGAAUGGGGGAACCCGGCAGCAGACAUGAGCUGUCAUCUGCAGGUGAAUACAUGGCCUGCAAGAGAGGUACCCGGCGAACUGAAACAUCUAAGUAGCCGGAGGAAAAGAAAACAACAGUGAUUCCCUGAGUAGCGGCGAGCGAAAGGGGAGAAGCCCAAACCGGUUGAAGGACCGGGGUUGAAGGACCAUGACAUGGCAAGAACGAGGAUAGGAGAACGGGAUCGAAAGCCCGGCCGAAGAAGGUGAAAGCCCUGUAACCGAAAUCCGAGUAAAGCCUAAUGGGAUCCUGAGUACGGCGAGACACGAGAAAUCUUGUCGGAAGCAGGCGGGACCAUCCGCCAAGGCUAAAUAUAAACGAGUGAGCGAUAGUGAACCAGUACCGUGAGGGAAAGGUGAAAAGAACCUCUGUUAGAGGAGUGAAAUAGAAUCUGAAACCUGGUGCUUACAAGCUGUGAGAGCGGACUUGUUCCGUGAUCACGUGCCUUUUGCAUAAUGAGUCAGCGAGUUAAUCUGUACUGCAAGGUUAAGCGCAAGUGGAGCCGUAGGGAAACCGAGUCUGAUAAGGGCGAUGAGUAGUGCGGAUUAGACCCGAAACCGGGUGAUCUAUCCAUGAGCAGGUUGAAGCAAGGGUAAAACCUUGUGGAGGACCGAACCAAUACCGGCUGAAAACGGUUUGGAUGACUUGUGGAUAGGGGUGAAAGGCCAAUCAAACCCGGAGAUAUCUCGUUCUCCCCGAAAUAGCUUUAGGGCUAGCCUCGAUUUAGAUUACCGGGGGUAGAGCACUGAAUGGGCUAGGGGGCCACAAAGCUUACCGAACCCUAUCAAACUUCGAAUACCGGAUAAUUGAUGAUCGGGAGUCAGACAGUGUGAGAUAAGUUUCAUUGUCGAAAGGGAAACAGCCCAGAUCUACGACUAAGGUCCCAAAGUUCAAGUUAAGUGGAAAAGGAUGUGCAAUUGCGUAGACAACCAGGAUGUUGGCUUAGUAGCAGCCAUUCAUUCAAAGAGUGCGUAAUAGCUCACUGGUCGAGUGAUUGUGCGCCGAAAAUGUAACGGGGCUAAACUUGACACCGAAGUCUAGGCAGAAGGAAACUUCUGGGUAGGGGAGCAACGUGUACGGGCAGAAGCAGAAGCGGAAGCGACUGUGGACUGUACAGGAGAGAGAAUGCCGGCAUGAGUAGCGAGAGCAAAGUGAGAAUCUUUGCCGUCGAAAGCCUAAGGUUUCCUGAGGAAGGCUCGUCCUCUCAGGGUAAGUCGGGACCUAAGCCGAGGACAAUAGUCGUAGGCGAUGGACAAUCGGUUAAUAUUCCGAUACCGCCGAGCAACCGGAUGCAGUGACACAGAAGGAUAGGCAGAGCGUGGCGAUGGUAGACCACGUCCAAGCAGUGAGGCUGUUGUGUAGUGAAGUACGCACAACGGAAGGCUGGGCUGUGAUGGGGAACGAUUACGAUCGGUAAGCUGCUGAAUUCACGCUGGCGAGAAAAGCUGCUACGAAGCGAAGGCGCCCGUACCGCAAACCGACACAGGUAGGCGAGGAGAGAAUCCUAAGACGAGCGGGAGAACCCUUGUUAAGGAACUCGGCAAAAUGACUCCGUAACUUAGGGAGAAGGAGUGCCCAGGAAUGGGCCGCAGAGAAUAGACCCAAGCGACUGUUUACCAAAAACACAGGUCUGUGCGAAGUAGAGAUACGACGUAUACGGGCUGACACCUGCCCAGUGCCGGAAGGUUAAGGGGAAAUGUUAGGGCAACCGAAGCAUGGAACUUAAGCCCCGGUGAACGGCGGCCGUAACUAUAACGGUCCUAAGGUAGCGAAAUUCCUUGUCGGGUAAG
rnacentral:rRNA from 1 species